AUACGGAGGAUGCGAGCGUUAUCCGGAUUUAUUGGGUUUAAAGGGUGCGUAGGCUGUGCGUUAAGUCAGGGGUGAAAUGCCGUCGCUCAACGACGGAGCUGCCCUUGAUACUGGCGUGCUGGAGUACGGAUGCCGUUGGAGGAAUGAGUGGUGUAGCGGUGAAAUGCUUAGAUAUCACUCAGAACACCGAUUGCGAAGGCAUCUGACGAAUCCGUCACUGACGCUGAGGCACGAAAGCGUGGGGAUAGAACAGGAUUAGAUACCCUGGUAUUCCACGCCGUAAACGAUGAUGACUAACCGUCGGCGAUAGACAGCCGGUGGCCAAGCGAAAGCGAUAAGUCAUCCACCUGGGGAGUACGUCGGCAACGAUGAUACUUAAAGGAAUUGACGGGU
rnacentral:rRNA from 1 species